UCCUGAUUGUGUGGGACUCUCAUCAGAUGCACACAUCUAUCUGUCUAUCUAUACAGUAUAAAAACUACAGAAACUGAGGGGUCAUAAUUGGUUGCAGUGUCAAAUAGCUUCCACUUGUGAUUCAAUCGAAACAUCCAAGACGAUUUAGGACUCUAUUUCAUUGCAUCACAACACACACAAACUACAUUUAUCUAUCAAUUUCUCAUUACACACACACUAGAAAGUAGAAAGUCACGCACUAAACCCUAGUCACAGAAAGUCCCUCAACCCCCACAAAAUUUUCUUUACUCUGUACUUCCAAGAUUCGAUUUUUCCGAGAAAGUUUUGAUUUUCUUGGAAAAUUAAGACACCCAAUGGAGGAAAACGAAGCUCUGCCGGACGAUCUCCGGUGUAACAGAACUGACGGUCGACAAUGGCGGUGCAAGCGGCGGGUAGAGGAAGGGAAAAAGCUUUGUGAAAUUCAUUAUGUUCAAGGUCGUCACAGGCAGAUGAAGCAGAAGGUACCUGAAUCACUGAAAAUCGUGAGAAAUACGAAAAACAAGAAUCAAUCCAAGAUUAAGAAUCCAAAAAGGUCUCUUGAAAUUGGGUUUUCAAAGAGUGAAAGGGCGUUGAGAAUUUUGAAGAAAAGGAAACCCCUCAAGCAUAAACCCUGUGUUUCAGAGGCGUUAGAUGAAGCUUUGAGGAGAAUGGAGUUGAAAAGAGGCGAUUUGCCGUUAGAAUUGAUUCGUGUUUUCUUGAAACGGCAAUUAGAGAAGAAAAAUGAGAAGGAAUCGAAGAAUGCUAGUGCUGAGGUGAUGAGAGAAUUCCCUAAUGCUUUAAUGGCUAUUCCUAUUAUACCUGCAAAGAAUUUUAACAAUGCAGGUUCUGUUUUAGACGUAAAAUUAGGCCUGGAUUCCAGCUCUAACCCCUUUUCGUUAAGGCGUUUCAGAUCAAAAAAUAUUGAACCCCUUCCAAUUAGUACAAUGCAGGCAUUGCCAUUUGCUAGGAAUGUGAAGAAUAUAAGUAAAGUAAAGAGAAGAAGGUUGUGUCAUUGGUGUAGGAGAAGUAGCUACCGGGUCCUGAUCAAGUGUUCGAGUUGUAAAAAACAGUACUUCUGUCUGGAUUGUAUUAAAGAAAGGAAUUUGGAACAGCAAGAAAUUAGGGUGAAAUGUCCCAUUUGCCGUAGAGAUUGUAGCUGUAGGAUCUGCAAAAGGAGUGAAUUGAAGCCCAACAGUCAUAAGGAAUCCUCAAGGCAUAAAAGGAAGGUUCCAAAAGUCCAACUACUUUAUUAUCUGGUCCACCAGCUUCUACCGAUACUGGAAAAAAUAAAUGAAGAGCAGAGAAUUGAAGUAGAGAUAGAAGCAAAUAUAUCAGGAAAGGGGGAAUCUGACAUUCAGAUUCAGCAGGCUUCAGCAGGAGAUGGAAAAUUAUAUCACUGUAGUAACUGCAACACCUCCAUCCUGGAUUACCACAGAAUCUGCUCUAAGUGUUCAUAUAGCCUUUGCUUAUAUUGCUGUCGGGAUUCCCGUCAUGGAAGCUUAACUGAAGAUUGUAAGUCCGAAGGUUCCAAUGAAGAACAAGCUUGUUCUUCUAACUUUGAGCGACAAUCAAGGAUGAAUUAUACUAGCACCUCAAGGCAAAGUUUCUCGGGGAUACAUUACCCAUCUUCCAGGUCAUGCUCCAACUAUCAAGCUUGUGCUGAUGGCAGCAUAUCUUGCCCCCCUGCAGAAUAUGGCGGUUGUAGUGAUAGCUUCCUGGAUUUAAGAUGUGUAUUUCCCCACCCUUGGAUCAAGGAGCUGGAAAUCAGCGCUGACGCAAUAUUAUGCAGUUACAACAUUCAGGACACAGAACACGAUUUUUCAUCAUGCUCACUAUGCAGGGGAAGCGAUCAUAAAGAUGCUGUUGCUAAUUCAUUCAUCAAAGUAGCCGAGAGACAAAAUUCGAGGGAUAAGUUUCUGUAUUGUCCAUCUAUAAAGAAUAUCCGUGAGGAAAACCUUGAACACUUUCAGAAACACUGGGGUGAAGGUCAUCCUAUUAUAGUACGGAAUGUGCUUCGGAAUUCUUCUGAUUUGUCUUGGGAUCCGGUUGUUAUGUUCAGCACUUACCUUGAGAAAAGGUCAAAAUGUUCCUUGGAUAAAGAAACAGCCAAGGCACAAAAUCACUCGGACUGGUGUGAGGUUGAAAUAGCUAGAAAACAGAUAUUUAUGGGGUCACUUGAAUGGCAAACACAUGCAACAAUGCAGCGUGAAAUAGUAAAAUUCAGAGCAUGGCUUUCUUCCCAUUUAUUCCAAGAGCAGUUUCCUGCUCACCAUGCUGAGAUCUUGCGGGCUUUACCACUUCAAGAGUAUAUGAAUCCAAAAUCUGGUCUUCUAAAUCUAGCAGUUAAAUUGCCACCGGAAAUGCCACAAACUGAUUUAGGACCUUCAAUCUAUAUUUCCUAUGGUGGGCCUGAAGAACUAUUGCAAGCAGAAUUUAUCACUAACCUAUGUUGUGAAUCAUAUGAUAUGGUUAAUAUUCUUGCAAGUGCUACUGAUGUUCUUGCUUCCAAGGAACAAGUAAGAAAAAUAAAAUGUUUAAUGAAAAAUAAGAAGCCUCAAGAUCACAAGGAAAUUACCAGCCAUUUCAGUGAUCAGAAAGGAAAAUCAUCUCUGCAUAGUGGAGACACAGAAGAAUCCGAUCUGCAGGAUGCAACUGGAGAGCAGUUGCCUGAUGGUAUUGCUGAAGUACCUUUCUACUCUAGUGACUCACAAAAAGGUCAAAGGUAUGAAGACCGAGAUAGCAAUAUCUCCAGUGACAAUGAAAAUGACUCUGAAUCUGAGUCUGAUGUCUCACUGUUCUGCUCUGGAUCUGUUGAAAGGUCUGAAGAUUCAGACAGUGAUUAUUUUUUUGAAGAUGUUGAUGGUGCCAAGAAAGAAGCAAAACCCUCAGGUGCUCAAUGGGACGUUUUCAGCAGACAAGAUGUCCCAAAGCUUCUAGAGUACCUCAAAAGGCAUUCUAGCGAGUUCACCUCCAUGCGUGGUUAUUCCAAACAAGUUGUUCACCCAAUACUUGAUCAAAGCUUCUUCUUUGAUGCAUUCCACAAAUUGAGGCUUAAAGAGGAAUUCGAUGUUCAACCUUGGACUUUUGAACAACAUCUUGGAGAAGCUAUUAUCAUCCCCGCUGGAUGUCCAUAUCAAGUCAAACAACUUAAGUGUUGUUAAAGGUUCGGAUGAGAACGCUUAUGCCCCUGAAACUAGGUGCAAAGCGGCUGGCGCUUCGCGUUGCUUAGGUGGCACUUCAGUGCAGACACCAAGGCAAUACGUCAUGCAUCAACGUUGUUCUGCACUUCAUCUCGCCUGAAAAUGUUGCUGAAUGUAUCAACGCAACUGAUGAAAUUCGUCUACUUCCUGAGCACCACAAAGCCAGGGGAAAAAUGCUGGAG